rnacentral:rRNA from 1 species
GACAGAGGGUGCAAACGUUGCUCGGAAUUACUGGGCGUAAAGCGCGUGUAGGCGGACUUGCAAGUCAGAUGUGAAAUCCCCGAGCUCAACUCGGGAACUGCAUUUGAAACUGCCUGUCUUGAGUAGUGGAGAGGAAAGCAGAAUUCCUGGUGUAGAGGUGAAAUUCGUAGAUAUCAAGCGGAACACCGGUGGCGAAGGCGGCCUUCUGGACAGUGACUGACGCUGAGACGCGAAAGCGUGGGGAGCAAACAGG